rnacentral:rRNA from 1 species
UACGAAGGGGGCUAGCGUUGCUCGGAAUUACUGGGCGUAAAGCGCACGUAGGCGGAUUGUUAAGUCGGGGGUGAAAUCCUGGAGCUCAACUCCAGAACUGCCUUCGAUACUGGCGAUCUCGAGUUCGGGAGAGGUGAGUGGAACUGCGAGUGUAGAGGUGAAAUUCGUAGAUAUCAGGAGGAACACCGGUGGCGAAGGCGGUUCUCUGGGCCUUACCUGACGCUGAGGAGCGAAAGCGUGGGGAGCAAACAGG